UUAAAGAGUUUUUCUAAUCAAAGUUUGUCUUAUGAUAUCAUACAGUGGCCACGUUCUUGUUCUUAUUUACAAGUUUGUUUAAAAAUCACUGCUUUAUUAUUCAGCAAGUUGAAUUUUAACCACAAUAAUUUUCAGUUUUAUUUAUUUUAUUUUAUUUUUAAUUAACCAUAAUGCAUUACAAUCUGGGAAUUGAUCACAUGGUCCUAAAAGGACUACAUCAACUGCUUGACUUGAAAUCAAAAGGAGAGCCAAACAAAAGAAUCCAAUUAGUAGAAUGGAUUUGUUAAUAGCCAUUUUCUCAAAUCAGAAGCUUUUUUUCAUCUAUGUGUUUUUCUGUCUUGUUUUGUGUGCAUUUUCAGUUUUAUUUGCUGAAACUUCAAAGUGUUUUUGCGCCUUACAAAAGCUUGUUUACAACCAGACAUGGGUAGGAAUGGUCUUCGGAAAAAAACUAGUCGGUUGACUGAUAAUGGUAAUAUGAAACCUUCUAAGAGUGCUCAAACGGCGCCGGUUAAAGAAAAUUUGCCCACACAACAGGUGGAAGAACUUGUUUAUCUGGGAAGCGUGGACACGCAAGGUGAGAUUGAAAUUAGCUACCAUUAUGGUGGUUAUUUUGUGUUCUCGCCUUCUAGAAAAUAUGUAAACGGGAUCGAAAUAUUAGUGAAUAUUUCGGGGGUAGACCAACAAAGGUACAACUCAUAAAGCAAUUAGAAUCGACAAGAAAGCAAUCGAACGAGCGUGUGGAAGAAGUUAAAAGGGAAGCUAAGAAGCAAAUUGAAGAAAUGAAGAAAGAAACGGAUAAUAAGAUAGCAAAGUUGGAGAAACAACGGGCAGCAAAAUUUCAAAUGUUGGUUGCAGCUCAAGGCCGAAAAUCAAAUGAUGCAAAUCUAACCCUAGUGGAGUAGUGAUGGAAGCAUCAAAAUCGAUGGGGACAUGAAGAAUUAUUUUUUCUCUUACAAAGUAUAUUGAUAUGUUUGAAUAAAGUGAUGUUUCACUAUUUUGGAUGACAUUGUUGAACCUUUGUUACGUCUUUUUUCUAAUAUAUUGCAUUUAUUACACAAUUGAAGAUAUAUUGCUACGAUAUUGUCUAUAAAUUUCAUGUAAAAAAUGAAUUCUCAGCUACAUUAUGUGGCUAACAAUGUCGGUGACAAAUAUUUCAAUUAGUAGCUAUGAAAUUUUUGGAUUUGUAGCUAAACGUACAUAUAAUUGCCACACAAAUGAGAAUAUGGACACACAUUUUUAUUUCCGUAGCAAAUGAAAAAAUCUUUUGCUACAAUUUUGUCUCUCGUGACAAAAAGUAUACACUUUUAGCUAUGAACUUUUGAGUUCGUAGCUAGACAUAUACUCCUAUAAUUGCCACUUAUCAAAACAUGGCUACAAAUUUACAAUUUUCGUAGCAAAUGAAGAUUCUUUUUAGGUAUAAUGCUAUUUAUUUCGUAGCUAAAGGUAUGGCUUCAUAGCUUCAAUAUGAAAAUAUUUGAGGCAAA